ensembl:lncRNA
AGUGAGCUCAUGUGCCCAUUCCUGAAGAAUGCUACCUUAACCAUCGCUAACUGCCAAAUCAUCGAUGUUCAGUACUAUGUGAUGGUGGCUCUGAAGAUUUCCCGCAGUACAGACCUGGAGAUCAAAUUCCCUAUUUCACUGUGCAGUAUUCCUUUUGAUGCAAAUAGGCCAGCCACAGCAGUCCCACUGCAGAACCAGAACCCAAGCCCCUACCCAGGUCCGUACCCGAAUCAACAACCAGGUCCGUACCCAAAUCAACAACCAGGUCCAUACCCGAAUCAACAACCAGGUCCGUACCCAAAUCAACAACCAGGUCCAUACCCGAAUCAACAACCAGGUCCGUACCCGAAUCAACAACCAGGUCCGUACACAAACCAAUAUGUCGCCCCAUACCCUGCCCAGAAUCCAGGUCAGUACCCAUAUCAGCCACAGGGCACGGAUCCUAAUCAGUACCCAGCCCCUCACCACAACUAGAACCCCCUCAGUUCGAGGCUCCUCCACCUAAGUAAAUGUUCGGUCUGCUGACAGUAAGGCUACUGUCUUCUAAAUGGUUUCAGUCAAGGAGGAAGUAGACAAACAUUUUACAGAGUAGAAGAGGUCAUGUUAUAUUAGUUGACACCAGGUAGCUGAGGGCCCAGUUUGCAGGUAUUUCCUAGUUUCUGGAGGAGUUAUUGAUUGCAUAUGAAAU